GGUUAUGCAAGAAAGAGCGCAGGGUGGAUGCCUUGGCACUAAGAGCCGAUGAAAGACGUGAUAAGCUGCGAAAAGCUUCGGGGAGGAGCAAAUAUCCCGUGAUCCGGAGAUGUCUGA
rfam:Clostridiales bacterium CHKCI001 isolate CHKC1 genome assembly, contig: {contig6}